GGCUGUGGGGGUGAUCUGGCAGUGCUAUCCAGCACCCCACUAAACACAAGGAUGAUGCUGCUGACCUGGUCAGUGAGGUAGGUGUCCCCUUCCUCCCUCACGUUCCCUGAGUGCUCGGUGAGGAUGGCCUUCCUCUCUCCAUAGAUGACUGCUCUUCAGCCAAGAGAAUACAAGUGGCUACAUGCCUCUGCUGGAACUCCAAACAAGCUCCCAAAGUCAACCAAACAACCCAGUUACACUAUCAUAAUGAACGUAUAUAGGAGUAAGUUUUCAAAUAUUUGUUUAUUUCAUACGUAUGUGUGAGUGCUUGCAUGUAUGUAU
ensembl:misc_RNA 7SK 7SK RNA